rnacentral:lncRNA from 10 species
CCGGGAGUUACACACCAACGAAUUUCUAAAGAAAGCCUAACAAAAAGGCAAAUAAAGCAAGAGGAUUCUCACAGACUCACUGCUGCAGGGCUUUAAAAUCUCAGCCUCAUCUAUUGAACACUAGCCCAGCUUCCCUCAACCCCUCAAAGCAGCAAGAUUUAUGCAAGCCUCCUGUGACAGCAGAGCUUCUGUCCCAUCAGUAGCCUUAUCAAAUCUGUCCUAUAGCCCCAUCAGACCUGAGCGAACACCUGCUUUCCAGCUCCAAAGCAGAGGAAGGAUGAAGGGUGGCUGCCAACCCCACUGCUUUGUGGAAGUUCCACACCUUGCUGAGGACACCUCAUGCCUCUCAUAGGAUCCUGACCUGCUGACGUACAGACAGAAUAUGUGAGAAAUACAGGUCAUAAGACCCCCAUUUCAAGAGGGUCCUGCUGCAUACCCAGAAGGAAGGAAUACUGCACAGAGAAGCUAAGAGGAAUUUAAACAGACAGACCUUGCUGGACUUUCCUACUCAGUCUAUUAACAUUAGAUCAUACCCUUUCUGCCCAGUUAUUUUUCUCCAUGGCUGUCCGUACUUCAUUGAACCCAAGCCUAAAAAUGGGCAGUUUCCCCGUAUCUUUGGGUCUUUAUUCUGAAGGCUCCGUGUAAAACUGUAAUCAAAUAAAUCUGUAUACCUUUUC